rnacentral:rRNA from 1 species
AAUUUUCCGCAAUGAGCGAAAGCUUGACGGAGCAAUGCCGCGUGAAGGAUGAAGGCCUGCGGGUUGUAAACUUCUUUUCUUAGAAAAGAUAAUGACGGUAUCUAAGGAAUAAGCAUUGGCUAAAUAUGUGCCAGCAGCCGCGGUAAUACAUAUAAUGCAAGUGUUAUCCGGAAUGAUUGGGCGUAAAGCGUCUGUAGGUGGUUUUAAAAGUCUAUUGUUAAAGACUAAGGCUUAACCUUAGAACAGCAAUGGAAACUUUAAAACUAGAGUACGGUAGAGGUAGAGGGAAUUACCGGUGUAACGGUGAAAUGUGCAGAUAUCGGUAAGAACACCAACGGCGAAAGCACUCUACUGGGCCGAAACUGACACUCAGAGACGAAAGCUAGGGGAGCGAAUAGGAUUAGAUACCCUAGUAGUCCUAGCUGUA